rnacentral:lncRNA from 1 species
UGAUUAGAUGACUGGUAUUAAUCUGAUUAACCAAAGAGACAAGGUAUUACUAAAUUCCUCAUCCCUGGUAACAUUUCCAUGUUAGCUGUUUUCUAUUUGUUUUUUCUUUUCCACAAUGGUGCGGCCUAGAAACAGUUAACCUUCUUCGGGGUAUUACAUACCUUAGACAUAUAAAAAAGCUAUGAGCAUUCAACACUGAAAUAAUCAUAUAAACCAAACAUACUGCACACUACUUCAGGGAUACUCUGAAGCCCAUCCUUAGACCCCAGACUCAAACAAAACAAAAUACGAUGUAAAGAACUGACACAAAUCAUCAGAGUUUAGAGAACAACGUGACGGGCAGCAGAGGAGAGGAGAGGGUUGAAGCAAACUUUUUUGGUUUUUUUUUCCUAAGUAGGGCUGGUUCUGGCUUGUCUUCCUUCUCCCCACUUUGCUUCUUACUCUUGGGCUUACAAACUGCCUGGUUUCCCUUCUCCAAGUCAGGGCUUCGUUUCUCUGCCUUGGCCUUCCUACCCCACCUUCUGCGUUCUGACUCCAUGAGGCCCUUUUCGCGUCUCAUUUUCUGCCUUCUUUAGGCGUUCCCUCGGCGGCUCUGCAGUGUGAUCUCAUCUCUUUGUUUCUCCCCGGCUGCCGUCAGUCACCGGCUCUCUGCGCCCCCACCCGCGCGGGCUCGCGGCCGUGCUGCGGGCGUGGCCUCAGCCGCUGAGACCCUGGGGACCGCAGGGCGU